AGUUGUAAAUGCCAUUAACAAUAGGAUUAAAAAGCUAAAAUUGGUUUUCUUCGCGCACAUGAAUAAGGAAAAAAACUUAGUAGUUGAUUUCUUUGUCAGGAUUAAAAUGGUAAAUGAGAGUGAUCUUAGUGGCAUUGCCUUGAUUGUUAGGCUGGCUAGUGCUAGAUUUUUUUAAUGAUGAAAAAAAUUUAUUUCAUUGAACUUUUUUUUAACAUCUUCUAUAACUAUUAGUUUUUUUUACCCUAAGUUGUGUUCUAGUUUUCUUUUUUAGUUUUUAGUAGUU
rnacentral:lncRNA from 1 species